rnacentral:rRNA from 1 species
UACGUAGGGGGCUAGCGUUGUCCGGAAUCAUUGGGCGUAAAGCGCGCGUAGGCGGCCCGGUAAGUCCGUUGUGAAAGUCAAAGGCUCAACCUUUGAAAGCCGAUGGAUACUGCCGGGCUGGAGUCCGGAAGAGGCGAGUGGAAUUCCUGGUGUAGCGGUGAAAUGCGCAGAUAUCAGGAGGAACACCGGUGGCGAAGGCGGGUCUCUGGGCCGAUACUGACGCUGAGGAGCGAAAGCGUGGGGAGCGAACAGG